GACAAGUCAAAAUGUCUGCUGUGAAAAAGGUCCAUAAAGUGCCAUCAAAUCUUCCCACAAUGGAGUGAGCAAAAUUAUUGUCCAUGCACUUUUUCAUCCAGGUAAAGCCGGGCAUCCUCCUGCGAGGUGUGGCGCCAUUCAGCUGAUCUGUGUCCUGCGAUGGCAUCACUUGAUGCUGCUCCUGCACCCAGAUUAGACUCUUUUGA